GAGUCUAGUUGUAGGAGUUUGGAAUUAAUUUUUGUUUUUGAGUCAGGAAAUGAGUUAAAUUUUAAUUUCCUUCAGCCAUUUUGGGAGGGUGCAACUAAAUGUCGUAGUGGAUUUAAUCGGGGGAAAUAUUAUCUUUUAUUUUAUUUUAUUUUCUUUGAUUUUAUUUUCUUUUGAAAAAAUCUUAUCCCAUAUUUUUUCUCCCUGGUGGUUUCUUGCUCCCUUUCCUUUCAUGUUUCUAGUAGUUGAAUUCUUUUCAAUUUUUUUCUUUAUUGGACUAAAAUUUGUUUCCUCUCUACUAUUCUUUAUUUUUGAUAAUUUUUCUUUUCUUUGCUUAGUUUUGCUCCUUGUUGAUCAC
rnacentral:lncRNA from 1 species